rnacentral:rRNA from 1 species
CCUACGGGAGGCAGCAGUGGGGAAUUUUGGACAAUGGGCGCAAGCCUGAUCCAGCCAUGCCGCGUGCAGGAUGAAGGCCUUCGGGUUGUAAACUGCUUUUGUACGGAACGAAAAGACUCUGGUUAAUACCUGGGGUCCAUGACGGUACCGUAAGAAUAAGCACCGGCUAACUACGUGCCAGCAGCCGCGGUAAUACGUAGGGUGCGAGCGUUAAUCGGAAUUACUGGGCGUAAAGCGUGCGCAGGCGGUUAUAUAAGACAGAUGUGAAAUCCCCGGGCUCAACCUGGGAACUGCAUUUGUGACUGUAUAGCUAGAGUACGGCAGAGGGGGAUGGAAUUCCGCGUGUAGCAGUGAAAUGCGUAGAUAUGCGGAGGAACACCGAUGGCGAAGGCAAUCCCCUGGGCCUGUACUGACGCUCAUGCACGAAAGCGUGGGGAGCAAACAGGAUUAGAUACCCUGGUAGUCCACGCCCUAAACGAUGUCAACUGGUUGUUGGGUCCUCACUGACUCAGUAACGAAGCUAACGCGUGAAGUUGACCGCCUGGGGAGUACGGCCGCAAGGUUGAAACUCGAAAGGAAUUGACGGCUGAGACGAGCGACGACGACGACGAGGGAGGAGG